CCUGCAAGCAUAUGUUCUAACACAUUUGAAUAAUAAUAAAAUAUAAACAAGUAGCACGUAAAUCCCCUCCCCUUAGACGAUCCCCCAAGUUAUAUCAUAUAGAGAUAGUGUUAGAGUUAUACACAAUAUUACAAGCCAAAAUAAAGAACAAAUGAAUAAAAUAUACAACAUUAAAAUAAGUAAAAUAGCUCCGUCUGGAAUUCUCUUCUAGGAGACUCUUCGACAUCUUAAACUCUAAGUUCAACACCUGUUAAAAGGGAUAAUGUAACACACAUAUAUAUAGUGGCAAAAUAAUCGUAACAUCAAAUAUUCAUAGCAACAAAAUUACUUUCAUACGUAUAAGCAACACUCAUAAAAAAGGUCAAAACAAACAAAUAAUAAUCAUAGGCAUUAUCACACAUAGCGAGAGGGAAGAACGAAAACUAAUCCAAAUGCUUUCUUUACCAUUACAACUUACAUAGAGGUAUGGAUGCAAAAUAAUAUGAACGCUAAAUAAGAUUACUAACCAAUUAGGCAGACAAGAAAUAUCAGCAAUGAAGACCCCUUAAUCCAACUUUCGACCCGUACACAGCAAAAUAGCAAGUAUAGAGAAGCUUUAAUGUUUACCGGAAAACUUAAUCCUAUUUUAAAGAGCAGCGAGCAACAUAUAUAUAUUUUUUUUUAUUCAAAGUAAGAGCAAAGUAGAUGUGAGAGUGUCUAGAGGUGUGUGAUCAACCGUGUGUGUGAGAGGGUCCGGAUGAGAGUGUCCUUUAUAUAGUGAAAGGGAGGGCACAUAAUAAAGGAAAAGAAAUAUUUCGGGGUCAAUUGACUAUCAUUGCUUUCUAAAAUAAGGAAAUACAAAAUCAGCCAUAUAAUUCAAUAAACAAUAAGGAUUUUACCAAAAAUAAGCAAGUAAGAGACAGUUAGAUCCUAAUUAUACCAAGAAAGUUAAUUAAGGAAGUUACUAUGUUAAUAAUAUAUAUAAGUUAGUGGAAAGGAACAACUGGUCAAGGAAGGAAUAUUUUAUUUUUUUUAUAUAUGAAAAAAGAGUGAAAACUAGGAUUCUUACCAAAAUAAUGAAGCCUAAAUUGUGACAUCAACAAUCAAGGAUUAUAUAUGGCAAGAACGAUCAAUUAGAUAUUUUUCCCUAUUCACCAAAUAAGUAAUAUUAUUUUAAGUUAUUUUGCUCAAUCAAAUAUAAUUUUAGUAAAAUAUAACAAGUAAGAAUCAACUAAAUUCCAAUUACGCCAAUUAUGAUCAAUUAGCAUUACUAAAUAAAAUAAUAAGGAAAUAUUACCUUACGAAGAGACACGAAAUUUGUUCGGAUUAACACAAUACUAUAAAAAUCACCUUAGUAUCAAUUAAUCAAUAUUAGGCAAGGAUAAAAAUAAUUAUAUUAAAGGAAGAAAACAAUGAUUCAAGGAGUAUUUUAUAAUAUAUUCACAACAAGGAAAAGAGCAAUCUUCCAAGGAUCAAUCUAAACUCAAGUAGCAAACCCAAUAUUCCAUUUAACAUACAAAAUUAUCACCACUACAUGCAUCAAUUAAAGGGAUUAAAUGACGUUAUGGGAGGUAAAUAAAAAAAAAAGGACAUCUCAAGAACCGGUGAUUUCAUAACCAACUUAUCAAUUUUAACUAAGAGAUCAACAGUCUAGGUAAAUGUUACAAAUACAGGGAAAAACUUCCACACAAUAAGCUAAGCAAACAAGAACAACAACCACAUGAAGGAGACUAUACUUCCACUUUAUAUCACACAUAAACAAUUUAUAAAAUCUGAAAGUUUUAACUAGCAGUUCACUUUUAGGACUAAAAAUAACUUCUAUACCAAACAUACCUAUAACUUCCAUCACAUUACAAAUAAGAAGAAGAAUAAAAUUGCGAAGAUGAGAUAAUGCUUUAGAAGAAAUGUACCCGGACGGAUCUGUUAAAGAUCCG
rnacentral:lncRNA from 1 species